GUUCUUUAGGGAUGUACGAGUCUCUAACAUUCACUUCAUCCAUCUGUUUCACUUUGUCAGCUCUAUUUUCUUGUGUUUUGCUGAUCAUUGUAGGAUGGAAUAUUU
rnacentral:snoRNA from 1 species